AUACAGAGGGUGCGAGCGUUAAUCGGAAUUACUGGGCGUAAAGAGUACGUAGGUGGUUUGUUAAGUCAGAUGUGAAAGCCCCGGGCUCAACCUGGGAACUGCAUUUGAAACUGGCAAACUAGAGUAUGGUAGAGGGGGGUAGAAUUUCUAGUGUAGCGGUGAAAUGCGUAGAUAUUAGAAGGAAUACCAGUGGCGAAGGCGGCCCCCUGGACCAAUACUGACACUGAGGUACGAAAGCGUGGGUAGCGAACAGGAUUAGAAACCCUAGUAGUCC
rnacentral:rRNA from 1 species